CACGUGAAGCGGGUGACAUGAGCCAUAAGAAGUUGUGCCGAUAAGUCGGGAAAAUCUGAAAACCAGAAAAGCAUGUGGCAGUAAUGCAAUUCCAUUAAACCUUUCUAGAUUUUAAAAAAUACACCCACCAGCAAAUCCCUACGUGCUCCUGAUACUGGAAUUAAACUCCUUGCCUCUUCUGUAACAAGAGAUAUGGCGAUGGAAAGUGCAUUUACAUUAACUAGGCUUUCAACCCCAUCGUUGUUGUGUAGGAAUAGUUCCUCUCAUCAUCAUCAUCAUCAUCAUCAUCGUCGUCACCUUAAAUCCUUCUCAUUUCCCCCCGAAUUGGCAUCCUUCAAAUACUCUUUCAGGACAAUUACACAUGCUCCUUUCGUUGUCAAUGCCUCCUCUUCCUCUCCAUCAUCUCCUUCUACAACGCUCGCCGAAUCCCAGGGUCUCAAGAUUAAUUCAAUUCCUACAAAACCUAUUGAAGGUCAAAAGACCGGUACCAGUGGUCUACGCAAAAAGGUUAAAGUGUUUAUGCAGGAAAAUUACCUUGCCAAUUGGAUACAGGCAUUGUUUAAUUCUUUGCCAUUAGAGGAUUAUAAGGAUGGACUCUUGGUCUUAGGAGGUGAUGGUCGAUAUUUCAAUCGAGAAGCUGCACAGAUAAUCAUUAAAAUUGCUGCGGGCAACAGUGUUGGUAAAAUAUUGGUUGGCAAGGAUGGUAUACUGUCCACUCCAGCUGUGUCUGCUGUGAUACGAAAGAGAAAGGCAAAUGGUGGCUUUAUAAUGAGUGCAAGCCAUAACCCUGGUGGUCCCGAAUAUGAUUGGGGUAUCAAGUUCAACUACAGCAGUGGCCAACCAGCACCUGAAUCAAUCACUGACAAGAUCUAUGGAAACACCCUUUCUAUUUCUGAAAUAAAAAUUGCCGACAUUUCUGAUGUUGAUCUUUCUCAACUUGGAGUUACAAAAUGUGGAAAUUUUAGUGUGGAGGUGGUCGACCCUGUGGCUGAUUAUUUGGAGCUAAUGGAGAAUGUAUUUGAUUUUUCACUCAUUCAAAGUCUUGUUUCACGACCAGAUUUCAGGUUUGUAUUUGAUGCCAUGCAUGCAGUUACAGGGGCUUAUGCAAAGCCCAUUUUUGUUGACAAACUUGGAGCUAGCCUUGAGUCUAUUGCAAAUGGAGUGCCACUGGAAGAUUUUGGACAUGGUCAUCCAGAUCCUAACCUUACGUAUGCUGAGGAUUUGGUGAAUAUCCUGUAUGGAGAGAAUGGACCUGACUUUGGUGCUGCAAGCGAUGGAGAUGGUGAUAGAAACAUGAUUCUUGGAAGAAGCUUUUUUGUUACUCCAUCUGAUUCUGUUGCAAUUAUUGCUGCCAAUGCCCAAGAUGCUAUUCCAUAUUUCCAGUCCGGACCCAAGGGUUUGGCUCGAUCAAUGCCCACUAGUGGUUCUCUAGAUCGCGUUGCCCAAAAGCUAAAUCUCCCCUUUUUUGAGGUGCCAACUGGUUGGAAAUUCUUCGGUAAUCUAAUGGAUGCUGGAAAAUUGUCAAUCUGCGGCGAAGAAAGUUUUGGGACUGGUUCUGACCAUAUCCGUGAAAAAGAUGGUAUAUGGGCUGUUUUAGCUUGGCUUUCAAUACUUGCAUAUUGGAACAAGGACAAAAAAUCAGGGGAGAAAUUGGUUUCUGUUGCUGAUGUUGUGAAGGAGCACUGGGCCACUUAUGGAAGGAACUUCUUUUCGAGAUAUGACUACGAGGAAUGUGAAUCAGAAGGAGCAAAUAACAUGGUCGAAUAUCUUCGGGAUUUGAUUUCUAAAAGCAAGGCUGGUGAUAAGUAUGGAAGUUACAUCCUAGAUUUUGCUGAUGACUUCGCCUAUACUGAUCCAGUUGAUGGAAGUGUCGCAUCCAAACAGGGGGUUCGGUUUGUUUUCAGUGACGGGUCCCGCAUCAUCUUUCGACUUUCGGGUACUGGAUCUGCUGGUGCAACAGUCAGAAUAUAUAUUGAACAGUUUGAGCCAGAUGUAUCCAAACACGAUAUGGAUGCUCAAAUUGCGUUGAAACCAUUGAUAGAUCUCGCUCUUUCCAUAUCAAAGCUAAAGGAUUUCACAGGAAGAGAAAAGCCAACUGUCAUAACAUAAGGGCAUAGAUAUCUGCAACUACAAUUGCUUAACGGAAGUCUUCUUGUGACAGUUGUAGUAGAUGAAAUAGAACAAAGGAUCGCUCAUGAAGAAAUGAGGUGAGGUGAUCUUCAAAUCUUGGAUUUGCCUCUGGUUAAAGAUGUUAUGAUAUGAGACCGCAUAAUAGUAAAAUUAGUUCCUGGGGACAUUGUCCCAUCAGCGCCACGAUGUUCCAUCUCAGCCUAAUGGCUGCAACUUUCUCCUAAAGGAACAUGGCUAGGUCAUGCUGCUGGUUGCUAGUCUCUUUGCAUUUUCUGGGGAUCCGGCACUUGUAAUGGGAAAGGGUCAAUUCAACUAUUCUCUCUAGUGUAUAAUAGUGUAUAAUGUAGUUCCACUAUCGUAUUUUUCCAAUAUUAUGGUCCCCACCAUCAUCAAACAUCAAUAUUGUACAACUUGGACAAGAAAGAGCAAACCACCCCCUCUUGCAUUUGUU